GACGAACGCUGGCGGCGUGCCUAAUACAUGCAAGUCGAACGCAGUGGGGACGGGUGAGUAACACGUGGGUAACCUCCCAUCAGAGGGGAUAACACUUGGAAACAGGUGCUAAACCGAUACUGAUGGAUGGACACGCGGUGCAUUAGCUAGUUGGUGAGGUCAAGGCUCACCAAGUCCACGAUGCAUAGCCGACCUGCUAGGGUGUUCGGCCACACUGGGACUUGGCUCGGGACCAGACUCCUACGGGAGGCAGCAGUAGGGAAUCUUCGGCAAUGGACGAAAGUCGGACCGAGCAACGCCGCGUGAGUGAAGAAGGUUUUCGGAUCGUAAAACUCUGUUGUUAGAGAAGCGGUAUCUAACCAGAAAGCCACGGCUAACUACGUGCCAGCAGCCGCGGUAAUAC
rnacentral:rRNA from 1 species